rnacentral:rRNA from 1 species
CGGACGGGUGAGUAACGCGUGAGAAUCUGCCUUCAGGUCUGGGACAACCACUGGAAACGGUGGCUAAUACCAGAUGUGCCGCAAGGUGAAAGGUUAACUGCCUGAAGAUGAGCUCGCGUCUGAUUAGCUAGUAGGUAGUGUAAAGGACUACCUAGGCGACGAUCAGUAGCUGGUCUGAGAGGACGAUCAGCCACACUGGGACUGAGACACGGCCCAGACUCCUACGGGAGGCGGCAGUGGGGAAUUUUCCGCAAUGGGCGAAAGCCUGACGGAGCAAUACCGCGUGAGGGAGGAAGGCUCUUGGGACGUAAACCUCUUUUCUCAGGGAAGAACAAAAUGACGGUACCUGAGGUAUAAGCAUCGGCUAACUCCGUGCCAGCAGCCGCGGUAAUACGGAGGAUGCAAGCGUUAUCCGGAAUGAUUGGGCGUAAAGCGUCCGCAGGUGGCUAUGUAAGUCUGCUGUUAAAGAGUCUAGCUCAACUAGAUAAGAGCAGUGGAAACUACAUGGCUAGAGUGCGUUCGGGGCAGAGGGAAUUCCUGGUGUAGCGGUGAAAUGCGUAGAGAUCAGGAAGAACACCGGUGGCGAAGGCGCUCUGCUAGGCCGCAACUGACACUGAGGGACGAAAGCUAGGGGAGCGAAUGGGAUUAGAUACCCCAGUAGUC